rnacentral:rRNA from 1 species
GAUGAACGCUGGCGGCGUGCCUAAUACAUGCAAGUCGAGCGAACUGAUUAGAAGCUUGCUUCUAUGACGUUAGCGGCGGACGGGUGAGUAACACGUGGGCAACCUGCCUGUAAGACUGGGAUAACUUCGGGAAACCGAAGCUAAUACCGGAUAGGAUCUUUUCCUUCAUGGGAGAUGAUUGAAAGAUGGUUUCGGCUAUCACUUACAGAUGGGCCCGCGGUGCAUUAGCUAGUUGGUGAGGUAACGGCUCACCAAGGCAACGAUGCAUAGCCAGCCUGAGAGGGUGAUCGGCCAAACUGGGACUGAGACACGGCCCAGACUCCUACGGGAGUAAGCAGUAGGGAAUCUUCCGCAAUGGACGAAAGUCUGACGGAGCAACGCCGCGUGAGUGAUGAAGGCUUUCGGGUCGUAAAACUCUGUUGUUAGGGAAGAACAAGUACGAGAGUAACUGCUCGUACCUUGACGGUACCUAACCAGAAAGCCACGGCUAACUACGUGCCAGCAGCCGCCGUAAGAC